ACGACCAUAUCACGUUGAAAAACCGGUUCUCGCCCGAUCACCAAAGUUAAGCAAGGUUGAAUAUUGUCAGUACCUAGAUGGGUGACUGCUUGGUAAUACCAGCUGCUGCAAG